CGACUACUCCUGGAGGAAAUGAUCACCCUCUCUUACUGAAGCAAAGCUGAUGAUGAGUGUGGAGACUUUAUAAAGAAUGACCAAAGAUGGUCAGCAGGAACAUGUGAAGAAACCUGCACAACGCCUAAACAGACUUGCAUCUAUCGAU